UACGUAGGGUCCGAGCGUUGUCCGGAAUUACUGGGCGUAAAGCGCGCGCAGGCGGCCCGCGAGGUGUCACGUGAAAGCCCUGGGCUCAACCCGGGAGGGUCGUGGCAAACCGGCGGGCUUGAGGCCGGUAGAGGUGGGUGGAACUCCUGGUGGAGUGGUGAAAUGCGUAGAGAUCAGGAAGAACACCCGUGGCGAAGGCGGCCCACUGGGCCGGUACUGACGCUGAGGCGCGAAGGCGUGGGGAGCGAACGGG
rnacentral:rRNA from 1 species